GUGCCAGCAGCCGCGGUAAUACGGAGGGUGCAAACGUUGCUCGGAAUCAUUGGGCGUAAAGCGUGUGUAGGUGGUCUGUUAAGUCGGGUGUGAAAGCCCUGGGCUCAACCCAGGAAGUGCAUUCGAAACUAACAGACUUGAGUACGGGAGAGGGUCGCGGAAUUCCCGGUGUAGAGGUGAAAUUCGUAGAUAUCGGGAGGAACACCAGUGGCGAAGGCGGCGACCUGGACCGAUACUGACGCUGAGACACGAAAGCGUGGGGAGCAAACAGGAUUAGAUACCCUGGUAGUCC
rnacentral:rRNA from 1 species